UACGUAGGGUGCGAGUGUUAAUCGGAAUUACUGGGCGUAAAGUGUGCGCAGGCGGCCGCGCAAGUCGAGUGUGAAAGCCCCGGGCUUAACUUGGGAAUUGCGCUCGAAACUACGUGGCUAGAGUGUGGCAGAGGGAGGUGGAAUUCCACGUGUAGCGGUGAAAUGCGUAGAGAUGUGGAGGAACACCGAUGGCGAAGGCAGCCUCCUGGGCCAACACUGACGCUCAUGCACGAAAGCGUGGGGAGCAAACAGG
rnacentral:rRNA from 1 species